rnacentral:lncRNA from 1 species
GGUUGGGUUGACUUUGACUCGCCUGACAGAUUUAAGAUUGUGGUUAGCAUCCGAUGGGACUGUAGCUGUGGCUCUUUCAGGAGAAACAUUGCUUGUUUUAUCAAUGGAAGCAAUGAGCAAAUCUGUGAUCAGCAAAUAGAAGUGGCACUUGUCGGUUAUAUCAGGGGAUUUCAAACCAUGCAAAAUCCUUUGACUGAUGCUCAAAUUCUUGACGAUGACAAGUCAAUUGCGGAAGCGUGCUUGGAUUCAGCAGCGUAUAGCUAUCACAGGUGCAGCCCUGCUAAACUAUAAAGAGUUUGCGUUGGUUAUAAAAAAAGUCAAAACAUUUCGGUUUGACCAUUACACUCUGAUAAGUUGACAUUGACUCAAAAGUAUGCUACAAAAUUUAACAUUUGAUUUAACUAUAUUUAAGCUAAGGCUUGUCCAAGGUGAAGCAUGGCUUUGGAUCAAGGUUUAGUUUAAUAAUUCAACUCUAAUGAGUGUAAUAUAACUUGAUAUUGCAUAGGUAUAAUGGUUGGAAUAAUAAAGUUAUAUGAACUUUUAGUUUUUGUGUUGACAUUAUGUCUAUUGCUUGUAUUAACAUAUCAUGUGUUGCAAGAAUUAUUGAUGGUUUUGAAAGUGUUGGA